rnacentral:rRNA from 1 species
GAUGAACGCUAGCUACAGGCUUAACACAUGCAAGUCGAGGGGAAACGCUGAGAGAGCUUGCUCUCUUAGGCGUCGACCGGCGCACGGGUGAGUAACGCGUAUCCAACCUACCCAUUACAGGGGGAUAACCUUGCGAAAGUAAGACUAAUACCCCAUGGCAUUUUAUGGUGGCAUCAUUAUAGGAUUAAAGAUUUAUUGGUAAUGGAUGGGGAUGCGUCUGAUUAGCUUGUUGGCGGGGUAACGGCCCACCAAGGCAACGAUCAGUAGGGGUUCUGAGAGGGAGGUCCCCCACAUUGGAACUGAGACACCGACCAAACGCCUAGGGGAGGCAGCAGUGAGUGAUAUGGGGCAAUGGGCGAGAGCUUGAGCCAGCCAAGUAGCGUGCAGGAUGACGGGCCUAGGGGUUGUAAACUGCUUUUAUAGGGGAAUAAAGUGAGCUACGUGUAGUUUAUUGCAUGUACCCUAUGAAUAAGGACCGGCUAAUUCCGUG